ACAAGCGGUGGAUGAUGUGGUUAAUUCGAUGCAACGCGAAAACCUUACCACCUUUGACAUGUACGGAAUCCUUUAGAGAUAGAGGAGUGCUCGAAAGAGAGCCGUAACACAGGUGCUGCAUGGCUGUCGUCAGCUCGUGUCGUGAGAUGUUGGGUUAAGUCCCGCAACGAGCGCAACCCUUGUCAUUAGUUGCUACAUUCAGUUGGGCACUCUAAUGAGACUGCCGGUGACAAACCGGAGGAAGGUGGGGAUGACGUCAAGUCCUCAUGGCCCUUAUAGGUGGGGCUACACACGUCACACAAUGGAUGGUACAAAGGGUCGCCAACCCGCGAGGGGGAGCCAAUCCCAUAAAGCCAUUCGUAGUCCGGAUCGCAGUCUGCAACUCGACUGCGUGAAGUCGGAAUCGCUAGUAAUCGCGGAUCAGCAUGUCGCGGUGAAUACGUUCCCGGGUCUU
rnacentral:rRNA from 1 species